UUCCAGACUCCUACGGGAGGCAGCAGUGAGGAAUAUUGGUCAAUGGUCGGGAGACUGAACCAGCCAAGCCGCGUGAGGGAUGAAGGUACAGAGUAUCGUAAACCUCUUUUGUCAGGGAACAAAGGCGGGGACGUGUCCCCGGAUGAGUGUACCUGAAGGAAAAGCAUCGGCUAACUCCGUGCCAGCAGCCGCGGUAAUACGGAGGAUUCAAGCGUUAUCCGGAUUUAUUGGGUUUAAAGGGUGCGUAGGCGGUCGGAUAAGUUAGAGGUGAAAUCCCGAGGCUCAACUUCGGAAUUGCCUCUGAUACUGUUCGGCUAGAGAGUAGUUGCGGUAGGCGGAAUGUAUGGUGUAGCGGUGAAAUGCUUAGAGAUCAUACAGAACACCGAUUGCGAAGGCAGCUUACCAAGCUACUUCUGACGUUGAGGCACGAAAGCGUGGGGAGCAAACAGGAUUAGAUACCUGUGUA
rnacentral:rRNA from 1 species